GAUGAACGCUGGCGGCGUGCCUAACACAUGCAAGUCGAACGUUAGGAAAUAGCAAUAUUUCUGAAAGUGGCGAACGGGUGAGUAACACGUAGGUAACCUGCCGCGCAGAGGGGGAUAACGACUGGAAACGGUCGCUAACACCGCAUGGUACUACUUUGACGGGAGUCUGAGUGGUUAAAACCUUGGUGCUGCGCGAGGGGCCUGCGUCCGAUUAGUUAGUUGGUGAGGUAACGGCUCACCAAGACGAUGAUCGGUAGCUGGUCUGAGAGGAUGAUCAGUCACACGGGAACUGAGACACGGUCCCGACUCCUACGGGGGGCAGCAGUGAGGAAUAUUGCACAAUGGACGCAAGUCUGAUGCAGCAACGCCGCGUGGAGGAUGAAGGCCCUUGGGUUGUAAACUCCUUUUUUCGGGGAAGAGAAUGGACGGUACCCGAAGAAUAAGUCACGGCUAACUACGUGCCAGCCGCCGCCGUAAGAC
rnacentral:rRNA from 1 species